UUGGAUUAAAAGAUAAAAACGAUACCUCUUCAUGGGGCCUGGUGUGCAAUGGCUGCAAACAGCAGCAUCCUUGGUAGUGUACGCAACCUGUUGCUAGUGUGGGUUGCCUUAAGGGACCUUGGAUACAGCC